CCUACGGGUGGCAGCAGUGAGGAAUCUUGGUCACUGGACGAGAGUCUGAACCAGCCAAGUAGCGUGAAGGAUGACUGCCCUAUGGGUUGUACACUUCUUUUAUAUGGGAAUAAAAUGUUCCACGUGUGGGAUUUUGUAUGUACCAUAUGAAUAAGGAUCGGCUAACUCCGUGCCAGCAGCCGAGGUAAUAAGGAGGAUCCGAGCGUUAUCCGGAUUUAUUGGGUUGAAAGGGUGCGCAGGCGGAUUUUUAAGUCUGCGGUCAAAUCGUGGGGCUCAACGCCAUCCAGCCGUGGAACCUGGGGAUCUUGAGUGUUCGAGAGGUAUGCGGAAUGCGUGGUGUAGCUGUGAAAUGCAUAGAUAUCACGCAGAACCCCGAUUGCGAAGGCAGCACACCGGUGCACAACUGACGCUCAGGCACGAAAGCGUGGGUAUCGAACAGGAUUAGAUACCCCUGUAGUC
rnacentral:rRNA from 1 species